rnacentral:tRNA from 1 species
GCCAUCGUGGUGUAGUGGUCAGCACGCUGGCCGCGAUGAUUAUUCCAGAGGUCCCUGGUUCGAGUCCCUGCGAAGGUG